rnacentral:misc_RNA from 1 species
GUGGGAGGGGGCUUGCCCCCGAUGACAGUGUGUCAGUCAACCUAUACAUGACUGAUACACCACCAUCGGGAGCAAGCCCCCUCCCAC